ensembl:lncRNA HOTAIR HOX transcript antisense RNA
CCAGUUCUCAGGCGAGAGCCGCGGCUGACAGGGUCUGGGACAGAAGGAAAGCCCUCCAGCCUCCAGGCCCUGCCUUCUGCCUGCACAUUCUGCCCUGAUUUCCGGAACCUGGAAGCCUAGGCAGGCAGUGGGGAACUCUGACUCGCCUGUGCUCUGGAGCUUGAUCCGAAAGCUUCCACAGUGAGGACUGCUCCGUGGGGGUAAGAGAGCACCAGGCACUGAGGCCUGGGAGUUCCACAGACCAACACCCCUGCUCCUGGCGGCUCCCACCCGGGACUUAGACCCUCAGGUCCCUAAUAUCCCGGAGGUGCUCUCAAUCAGAAAGGUCCUGCUCCGCUUCGCAGUGGAAUGGAACGGAUUUAGAAGCCUGCAGUAGGGGAGUGGGGAGUGGAGAGAGGGAGCCCAGAGUUACAGACGGCGGCGAGAGGAAGGAGGGGCGUCUUUAUUUUUUUAAGGCCCCAAAGAGUCUGAUGUUUACAAGACCAGAAAUGCCACGGCCGCGUCCUGGCAGAGAAAAGGCUGAAAUGGAGGACCGGCGCCUUCCUUAUAAGUAUGCACAUUGGCGAGAGAAGUGCUGCAACCUAAACCAGCAAUUACACCCAAGCUCGUUGGGGCCUAAGCCAGUACCGACCUGGUAGAAAAAGCAACCACGAAGCUAGAGAGAGAGCCAGAGGAGGGAAGAGAGCGCCAGACGAAGGUGAAAGCGAACCACGCAGAGAAAUGCAGGCAAGGGAGCAAGGCGGCAGUUCCCGGAACAAACGUGGCAGAGGGCAAGACGGGCACUCACAGACAGAGGUUUAUGUAUUUUUAUUUUUUAAAAUCUGAUUUGGUGUUCCAUGAGGAAAAGGGAAAAUCUAGGGAACGGGAGUACAGAGAGAAUAAUCCGGGUCCUAGCUCGCCACAUGAACGCCCAGAGAACGCUGGAAAAACCUGAGCGGGUGCCGGGGCAGCACCCGGCUCGGGUCAGCCACUGCCCCACACCGGGCCCACCAAGCCCCGCCCCUCGCGGCCACCGGGGCUUCCUUGCUCUUCUUAUCAUCUCCAUCUUUAUGAUGAGGCUUGUUAACAAGACCAGAGAGCUGGCCAAGCACCUCUAUCUCAGCCGCGCCCGCUCAGCCGAGCAGCGGUCGGUGGGGGGACUGGGAGGCGCUAAUUAAUUGAUUCCUUUGGACUGUAAAAUAUGGCGGCGUCUACACGGAACCCAUGGACUCAUAAACAAUAUAUCUGUUGGGCGUGAGUGCACUGUCUCUCAAAUAAUUUUUCCAUAGGCAAAUGUCAGAGGGUUCUGGAUUUUUAGUUGCUAAGGAAAGAUCCAAAUGGGACCAAUUUUAGGAGGCCCAAACAGAGUCCGUUCAGUGUCAGAAAAUGCUUCCCCAAAGGGGUUGGGAGUGUGUUUUGUUGGAAAAAAGCUUGGGUUAUAGGAAAGCCUUUCCCUGCUACUUGUGUAGACCCAGCCCAAUUUAAGAAUUACAAGGAAGCGAAGGGGUUGUGUAGGCCGGAAGCCUCUCUGUCCCGGCUGGAUGCAGGGGACUUGAGCUGCUCCGGAAUUUGAGAGGAACAUAGAAGCAAAGGUCCAGCCUUUGCUUCGUGCUGAUUCCUAGACUUAAGAUUCAAAAACAAAUUUUUAAAAGUGAAACCAGCCCUAGCCUUUGGAAGCUCUUGAAGGUUCAGCACCCACCCAGGAAUCCACCUGCCUGUUACACGCCUCUCCAAGACACAGUGGCACCGCUUUUCUAACUGGCAGCACAGAGCAACUCUAUAAUAUGCUUAUAUUAGGUCUAGAAGAAUGCAUCUUGAGACACAUGGGUAACCUAAUUAUAUAAUGCUUGUUCCAUACAGGAGUGAUUAUGCAGUGGGACCCUGCUGCAAACGGGACUUUGCACUCUAAAUAUAGACCCCAGCUUGGGACAAAAGUUGCAGUAGAAAAAUAGACAUAGGAGAACACUUAAAUAAGUGAUGCAUGUAGACACAGAAGGGGUAUUUAAAAGACAGAAAUAAUAGAAGUACAGAAGAACAGAAAAAAAAUCAGCAGAUGGAGAUUACCAUUCCCAAUGCCUGAACUUCCUCCUGCUAUUAAGAUUGCUAGAGAAUUGUGUCUUAAACAGUUCAUGAACCCAGAAGAAUGCAAUUUCAAUGUAUUUAGUACACACACAGUAUGUAUAUAAACACAACUCACAGAAUAUAUUUUCCAUACAUUGGGUAGGUAUGCACUUUGUGUAUAUAUAAUAAUGUAUUUUCCAUGCAGUUUUAAAAUGUAGAUAUAUUAAUAUCUGGAUGCAUUUUCUGUGCACUGGUUUUAUAUGCCUUAUGGAGUAUAUACUCACAUGUAGCUAAAUAGACUCAGGACUGCACAUUCCUUGUGUAGGUUGUGUGUGUGUGGUGGUUUUAUGCAUAAAUAAAGUUUUACAUGUGGUGAAUAUA